GACCAGGUAGCUCAGUUGGUUAGAGCAUUGUCCCUAUAUGUCAAGGUUGUGGGUUCGAUUCCCGGUCAGGGCA
rnacentral:tRNA from 1 species